rnacentral:rRNA from 1 species
AGCGAACGCUGGCGGCAGGCCUAACACAUGCAAGUCGAACGAACUCUUCGGAGUUAGUGGCGGACGGGUGAGUAACACGUGGGAACGUGCCUUUAGGUUCGGAAUAACUCAGGGAAACUUGUGCUAAUACCGAAUGUGCCCUUCGGGGGAAAGAUUUAUCGCCUUUAGAGCGGCCCGCGUCUGAUUAGCUAGUUGGUGGGGUAAUGGCCCACCAAGGCUACGAUCAGUAGCUGGUCUGAGAGGAUGACCAGCCACAUUGGGACUGAGACACGGCCCAAACUCCUACGGGAGGCAGCAGUGGGGAAUCUUGCGCAAUGGGCGAAAGCCUGACGCAGCCAUGCCGCGUGGAUGAUGAAGGUCUUAGGAUUGUAAAAUCCUUUCACCGGUGAAGAUAAUGACUGUAGCCGGAGAAGAAGCCCCGGCUAACUUCGUGCCAGCCGCCGCGGUAAGAC